UGUUGGGCUGCUCAGGAGACAGCAGCCAUUUUAACUGCCUCUGGCCCACUCCUUCCCACAGGGUAGUUGGGGGCAGAUGGCCCCAUGGGGGCAGAGGAGAGAGUCUAGCAGGAGGAGGCCCUGAGAUUAUAUUUUCCUGUCUCUCCUGGACUCGUUUCCAUAGGACAAUGAUCAAUGGCCCCAUGAGAGGAGGCAACAGGUCACCUGCAGCAUGCUCUGAGGAGAAUUUCGCCUGCCUAUCUCUUGCUCUCUUGAAAAUUUUCCUCACAGGGCAGUUGGCGGGAGUAGGCCCUGGUGUCUUUUUACUUGCCUGCCUCCUUCCCUCUCCGAAUUAUACUAAUCUGCCAACCUGCAUGAAUAUUUCUGUGUGUGAUCAUGUAAGAAAAGAGCUGAAUUAAUGUCCUAGAAUCUACAAUGGCUGCCUCUGGAUACACUGAAUGGUGGAAGAAAAGCAGCUGAAGACAGAAACUGUUGGGCAGAUUAUGCAAGUGUCCCUAUUUUCCAGGGGAAGUCCUGGAUUUUUUUGUUCACCAGAGGUGUUAACUUCAUCUGUGCCUGGAGGGGGAGCCAGGGCUGGGGAUUAGAGAAUGGGGCCAUCUUGUUGAGAUGGUGAACCAAGCAAGUGAAGAGCUGAGGAGUGGCAUGAGUCUAAGGACCUGGCAGAAGAGAGGUGACCGCCUUUAAUGCAACAUCAGAGCCUGUGUGUGACCUCUGCCCAUCGCCGCCAUGGCACUCUUCUUUGGGCCUGCCCAUAUUUACAUCCAGCUAGGUCGACAGAGCAAUGCCACUGAGACCAGCAAUCACCGUCUCUGAGCCCACCUCACAAACACCAUGAUGCGACAGAAAGAGAAAAUGAAACAGGAAAAAUGAGGAACAGAGACAAAUGAGAACUGACAGAUUCGUCCAUUCCUAACUCAAAGCUGGCUACCUUGUAG